rnacentral:rRNA from 1 species
CGGACGAACGCUGGCGGCGUGCUUAAUACAUGCAAGUCGAGCGAGGCCUUGGAAUUGGAGUCCUUCGGGAUGAAGAGUCCUUGGCCUAGCGGCGGACGGGUGAGUAACGCGUGGGCAACCUACCCCAAAGUCCGGGAUAACAGUGGGAAACCGCUGCUAAUACCGGAUGGCUUUACCUGAGGGCAUCCUUGGGUAAAGAAAGGUUACGCUUUGGGAUGGGCCCGCGUCCCAUUAGCUAGUUGGUGAGGUAACGGCUCACCAAGGCGACGAUGGGUAGCCGGCCUGAGAGGGUGAACGGCCACACUGGGACUGAGACACGGCCCAGACUCCUACGGGAGGCAGCAGUAGGGAAUAUUGCGCAAUGGGCGGAAGCCUGACGCAGCGACGCCGCGUGAGCGAAGAAGGCCUUCGGGUCGUAAAGCUCUGUCCUUGGGGAAGAAGGCGAAAGCUUGACGGUACCCAAGAAGAAAGCCCCGGCUAACUACGUG